UACGGAGGGUGCAAGCGUUGCUCGGAAUUACUGGGCGUAAAGCGUACGCAGGCUGUCCGUUAAGUCGGGUGUGAAAUCCCGGGGCUCAACCCCGGAAUUGCGCCCGAAACUGGCGGGCUUGAGUGCGGGAGAGGGAAGCGGAAUUCCUGGUGUAGAGGUGAAAUUCGUAGAUAUCAGGAGGAACACCGGUGGCGAAAGCGGCUUCCUGGCCCGACACUGACGCUCAUG
rnacentral:rRNA from 1 species